rnacentral:rRNA from 1 species
GUGAGGAAUAUUGGUCAAUGGGCGGGAGCCUGAACCAGCCAAGUCGCGUGAAGGAAGAAGGAUCUAUGGUUCGUAAACUUCUUUUGCAGGGGAAUAAAGUGCAGGACGUGUCCUGUUUUGUAUGUACCCUGAGAAUAAGGAUCGGCUAACUCCGUGCCAGCAGCCGCGGUAAUACGGAGGAUCCGAGCGUUAUCCGGAUUUAUUGGGUUUAAAGGGUGCGUAGGUGGUUUGAUAAGUCAGCGGUGAAAGUUUGCAGCUUAACUGUAAAGAUGCCGUUGAAACUGUCGGACUUGAGUGUAAAUGAGGUAGGCGGAAUGCGUGGUGUAGCGGUGAAAUGCAUAGAUAUCACGCAGAACUCCGAUUGCGAAGGCAGCUUACUAAGCUACAACUGACACUGAAGCACGAAAGCGUGGGGAUCAAACAGGAUUAGAAACCCUGGUAGUCC